CAGUAGCCGCGGUAAUACGUAGGAUGCAAGCGUUAAUCGGAAUUACUGGGCGUAAAGCGUGCGCAGGCGGUUAUAUAAGUCAGAUGUGAAAUCCCCGGGCUCAACCUGGGAACUGCAUUUGAGACUGUAUGGCUAGAGUGUGUCAGAGGGGGGUAGAAUUCCACGUGUAGCAGUGAAAUGCGUAGAUAUGUGGAGGAAUAUCGAUGGCGAAGGCAGCCCCCUGGGAUAACACUGACGCUCAUGCACGAAAGCGUGGGGAGCAAACAGGAUUAGAUACCCCCGUAGUCCCUGUCUCUUAUAC
rnacentral:rRNA from 1 species